rnacentral:misc_RNA from 1 species
UCCGGUUUGUACCGGCGAUCCGGCCCAUGUCAAGCCUUGGUAAGGUUCUUCGCGUUGCAUCGAAUUAAUCCGCAUGCUCCGCCGCUUGUGCGGGCCCCCGUCAAUUCCUUUGAGUUUUAGCCUUGCGGCCGUACUCCCCAGGCGGGGCACUUAAUGCGUUAGCUACGGCGCGGAAAACGUGGAAUGUCCCCCACACCUAGUGCCCAACGUUUACGGCAUGGACUAC